UGGACCUGUUGGGCCAAUCGGUCCUGUUGGGGACAGAGGAGACAUUGGAUUCAGAGGACAACCUGGCAUUCCAGGGCCUCCAGGAAAAGCGGGCCCCCGGGGUGAUAGAGGCCACCAAGGUUUUCGAGGGCCAAAAGGUGAUGCUG